rnacentral:tRNA from 1 species
GGAGCUGUAGCUCAGUGGAACAGCAUUUGCCUGCAACACAUAAGGCACUGGGUUCGAUCCCCAGCACCA